rnacentral:rRNA from 1 species
AAAGAAUGGUUGGACGAGAUAUAAUCUGUUUCAUUUAAAAUUAAUUAGAAUUUUAUUUUUUAGUUAAAAAGCUAAAAUAUAUUCAAAAGACGAGAAGACCCUAUAAAUCUUGAUUAUUUAGUAAUUUUUAAUUUAUUUUGAUUUUUUUUAUUAUAAAUUUAUUAAUUAAUUUUAUUGGGGUGAUAUUAAAAUUUAAAUAACUUUUAAUAAUUUUUGUCAUUUAUUUAUGAUUAAGUGAUCCGUUAUUAGUGAUUAAAAAAUUAAGUUACUUUAGGGAUAACAGCGUAAUUUUUUUGGAGAGUUCUUAUCGAUAAAAAAGUUUGCGACCUCGAUGUUGGAUUAAGAUUCAUAUUUAAAUGCAGAAGUUUAAAUAUAAAGUCUGUUCGACUUUUUAUUCUUACAUGAUCUGAGUUCAAACCGGUGUAAGCCAGGUUGGUUUCUAUCUUUGAUUUAAUAAAAUAUUUUAGUACGAAAGGAAUUAAUAUUUAUUUUUAAAAAAUUAAUUUAUGAAU